GAUGAACGCUGGCGGCGUGCCUAAUACAUGCAAGUCGAGCGAACAGACGAGGAGCUUGCUCCUUCGACGUUAGCGGCGGACGGGUGAGUAACACGUAGGUAACCUACCUAUAAGACUGGGAUAACUUCGGGAAACCGUAGCUAAUACCGGAUAAUAUUUCGAACCGCAUGGUUCGAUAGUGAAAGAUGGCUUUGCUAUCACUUAUAGAUGGACCUGCGCCGUAUUAGCUAGUUGGUAAGGUAACGGCUUACCAAGGCAACGAUACGUAGCCGACCUGAGAGGGUGAUCGGCCACACUGGAACUGAGACACGGUCCAGACUCCUACGGGAGGCAGCAGUAGGGAAUCUUCCGCAAUGGGCGAAAGCCUGACGGAGCAACGCCGCGUGAGUGAUGAAGGUCUUCGGAUCGUAAAACUCUGUUAUUAGGGAAGAACAAACGUGUAAGUAACUGUGCACGUCUUGACGGUACCUAAUCAGAAAGCCACGGCUAACUACGUG
rnacentral:rRNA from 1 species